rnacentral:rRNA from 1 species
AGUCGAGAAUCUUCGGCAAUGGGCGCAAGCCUGACCGAGCGACGUCGCGUGGGGGACGAAGGCCCUCGGGUUGUAAACCCCUGUCGAGGGGGAGCAAGGUGCCGUGCAGAGCGGCGCUUGAGCGAUCCCUGGAGGAAGCACGGGCUAAGUUCGUGCCAGCAGCCGCGGUAAGACGAACCGUGCGAACGUUAUUCGGAUUCACUGGGCUUAAAGCGCGUGUAGGCGGACUCGUGCGUCCGUGGCUGAAAUCCCCCGGCUCAACCGGGGAACGGGCCCGGAUACGACGAGUCUGGAGGGGCAUAGGGGGAGCUGGAACUUCCGGUGGAGCGGUGAAAUGCGUUGAGAUCGGAAGGAACGCCCGUGGCGAAAGCGAGCUCCUGGAUGCCUUCUGACGCUGAGACGCGAAAGCCAGGGGAGCGAA